rnacentral:rRNA from 1 species
GCGGGAAAUUAAGUCAGUGGUGAAAUCCUGCAGCUUAACUGUAGAACUGUCAUUGAUACUGGUUUCCUUGAAUGUAGUUGAGGUAGGCGGAAUGUGUAAUGUAGCGGUGAAAUGCUUAGAUAUUACACAGAACACCGAUUGCGAAGGCAGCUUACUAAACUAUGAUUGACGCUGAGGUACGAAAGCGUGGGGAGCGAACAGGAUUAGAUACCCUGGUAGUCCACGCUGUAAACGAUGAUCACUCGUUGUUGGCGAUAUAAUGUCAGCGACUGAGCGAAAGCAUUAAGUGAUCCACCUGGGGAGUACGACCGCAAGGUUGAAACUCAAAGGAAUUGACGGGGGCCCGCACAAGCGGAGGAACAUGUGGUUUAAUUCGAUGAUACGCGAGGAACCUUACCUGGGCUUAAAUGUAGAACCGACGGAUCGGGAAACUGAUCUUUCUUCGGACGGUCUGCAAGGUGCUGCAUGGCUGUCGUCAGCUCGUGCCGUGAGGUGUCGGGUUAAGUCCCAUAACGAGCGCAACCCUCAUCAUUAGUUGCCAGCGGGUAAUGCCGGGGACUCUAAUGAAACUGCCGGUGUAAACCGAGAGGAAGGUGGGGAUGACGUCAAGUCAGCACGGCCCUUAUGUCCAGGGCUACACACGUGUUACAAUGGUCGGUACAAAGGGCAGCUACCUGGUGACAGGAUGCUAAUCUCCAAAACCGAUCUUAGUUCGGAUCGAAGUCUGCAACUCGACUUCGUGAAGCUGGAUUCGCUA